rnacentral:rRNA from 1 species
AACCCGGUGAUCUAGCCAUGGGCAGGUUGAAGGUUGGGUAACACUAACUGGAGGACCGAACCGACUAAUGUUGAAAAAUUAGCGGAUGACUUGUGGCUGGGGGUGAAAGGCCAAUCAAACCGGGAGAUAGCUGGUUCUCCCCGAAAGCUAUUUAGGUAGCGCCUCGUGAACUCAUCUUCGGGGGUAGAGCACUGUUUCGACUAGGGGGUCAUCCCGACUUACCAACUCGAUGCAAACUACGAAUACCGAAGAAUGUUAUCACGGGAGACACACGGCGGGUGCUAACGUUCGUCGUGAAGAGGGAAACAACCCAGACCGCCAGCUAAGGUCCCAAAGUCAUAGUUAAGUGGGAAACGAAGUGGGAAGGCUCAGACAGCCAGGAUGUUGGCUUAGAAGCAGCCAUCAUUUAAAGAAAGCGUAAUAGCUCACUGGUCGAGUCGGCCUGCGCGGAAGAUGUAACGGGGCUAAACUAUGCACCGAAGCUGCGGCAGCGAUAUGUAAAUAU